rnacentral:sRNA from 1 species
GCGUUCCUAACACAUGAGAGUCGAACGCGAAAGCCCCGCAAGGGAUAAGUAGAGUGGCAAAUGGCCGAGUAACGCGUGGGUGACCUGCCUUCGAGCGGGGGAUAACGUUCCGAAAGGGACGCUAAUACCGCAUGACAUCCUGCCUUUCAAGAGGUGGAGAUCAAAGCUGGGGAUCGCAAGACCUAGCACUCGAAGAGGGGCCCGCGUCCGAUUAGCUAGUUGGUGGGGUAACGGCUCACCAAAGCGACGAUCGGUAGCCGACCUGAGAGGGCACACGGCCACACUGGCACUGAAACACUGGCCAGACUCCUACGGGAAGGCACAGUGGG